AUGGCUCUCCCUCUCCUUCACGAACGGCAGCGGCGGCGCCUCCGCCUUCCUCGCGUUUUCUUCUUCUUCUCUCCGGCGAUUUCCUCCGCUCACCACCGUCAACUCAACGUCAAGCUUAGCGACCUUUUUCAUCGCUUCUCUUCGCGAUUCCGUCGAAGUGAGGUGCAGAGAGAUGAAAAUGGCGAUGGAGAAGUUGUUUCGUUUGAGGAAUCUUUGAAGGUGAUUCAUGCUUUAAUGAUUGUGAAGAUGAUUCCGGCUUUGAUGAUGGCGGUGAUUCUUCUGGGAAAUUGA